UGCCCGCUGCGGUCUCCCUCACUGAGCGGUGGCCCUACUCAACUUCCACUCACCUCCUUCUCUGUCUGGCCCCACCGAACCCCACCGAACCCCACAAAACCAGAUUUUUAUUUAGUUAUUUUUUUCAGAUACUGCUUGGUCUUUUUUUAACCAGAGCAUCCUUCUUGGGCAUCCUAAAACAAACCCCGCGGGUCUGCGGGAGGAAAGCGGGGCUGAGCUGAAGAGAUGCCUCACGGGCGGCUCGGUUCAGGGCAUCCCGAGCACCGAUCCGCGGAGAAAUGCUGAAGUUCAGCGGCAGCUCGGUGGUCGCGGCGCUGCUUCUCUCGGUGGUCUGCGGCUCUUUUUUCUUCUGCGAGUAUCUCAUCUACUUCCCGACCAUCCUGAAGUGCGCCUGGCCGCAGCUGAGCCAUGCCCGGGGCGGGGAGGGCGCAGAGCCGGCGCUCCGCGCCAUGGUGCUGUCAGACACCCAUCUCCUCGGAGCUGUGGGGGGCCACUGGUUCGACAAGCUCAGGAGGGAAUGGCAGAUGGAGAGGGCUUUCCAGACCGCGCUUUGGCUCCUAAAGCCCGAAAUAGUCUUUAUUCUCGGGGAUAUCUUCGACGAAGGCAAGUGGAGCUCCCAGAAGCACUGGGAAGAUGACGUGCGCCGCUUCCACAGGAUGUUCAGACACUCCACUGACACAGAACUGGUCGUGCUGGUCGGCAAUCACGACAUUGGUUUCCAUUAUGAGAUGGACUGGUUCAAGCUGCAGCGCUUUGAAAAGGUCUUCAACGCCUCCUCCACAAGGAUUGUUACCAAAAAGGGAGUCAACUUCCUGCUGGUGAACAGCGUGGCCCUGCACGGUGACGGCUGUCCCAUCUGCCAGUCAGUGGAAAAAGACCUGAUCAAACUCUCCAAGGACCUCAACUGCUCGCUUCAGAAGUCGCAGUCUGACAGCAAAGAGACAGAGAAAUGUGGGGGCUCACAGACGUAUCCCCCCACCGCCCCCAUCAUGCUGCAGCAUUACCCUCUGUACAGAGUGAGUGACGCCAGCUGCACAGGGGAGGAUGCAGCACCGCCGGAGGAGCGACACCUGCUGUUCAGAGAGAAGUAUGACGUGCUGUCCAAAGAGGCUUCUCAGCGGCUUCUGCAGUGGUUUAAGCCCCGGCUCAUCCUGAGCGGACACACCCACAGCGGAUGUGAGGUUCUCCAUGACAACAAGUACCCAGAAAUCAGCGUGCCGUCUUUCAGCUGGAGGAACAGGAAUAACCCCAGCUUCAUCCUGGUGAGUGGGAGAACAGAAAGCCUCUGCAGGAUUACUCACAUCAUACAUAUUUUUUUCCUAACUUAACAGCUUCUAAGUCUAAAUAUGGCAUUGCGUACUAAACUUUUGUAAAACUGUAUUAAAAGAAGAAAAAAAAUCCAAUGUCUACUGCUUCAUUCUUCUAUGGCAGAUUUUUUUCACCAACCAUUGAAGGGAUAUUGCUAGAAGUGAAAGGAAAUGCUACAUGGAUGUGAAAUGUUCAACAAGUAGAAAUCUGACAUUUGCUGCAUGCAUUUGUAUCCAGCCUGUCUGCUUCAAUCAAUACUUUGUAGAGGCAACUCCUGCUGUGGCAUCUACUACCUUCCAACAUCUAGAGAGUAAAUUGCCGACCACUCCUGUGUGAAACACCUCUAGCACAGUCAGAUUGGAUGGAGAGCAUCAGCAGACAUAAAUUUUUAAGUUUUGCCAUGGAUGCUUAACUGGAUUUAGAUGUGAACUUUGACUGGGCCAUUCUAACUCAUGAAAUGUGCUUGAUCUGAACCAUUCCAUUGUACCUGUGGCUGUAUGUUUAGGGUCGUCGUGCUGCUGGACGGUGAGCCCUUCGCCCCAGUCUUUUCCAGCCUCUAUCCAAGUUUCUUCCAGGAAUGUCCUGUAUUUAGUUCCAUCCAUCUUCCCAUCAGCUCUGCCCAGCUUUCCUGUCCCCGCAGAAGAAAAGCUUCCUCACAGCAUGAUGCUGCCACCACCAUGUUUUACGGCGUCGGUGUCCUCAAGCGGUUAUUCCCUCUCCAAAUGUUUCCUGCCGGAGGAGAGCACGGUGAUCGGGGUCUACUGCUCGGCCGGCGCCUGCCUGCUGCUGCUCAUCCUGGCUCACUGCCUGUGGAUGAAGGGGCUGCUGCAGCUUAGCCUCUGCCUGCUGGGGAAGCACAAGUCUCUGUAAACCACGUCACCCAGAGUGCAACUUGUCUGUUAGUGGAGCUGAUCUCUGACUGGGCUGUGGAUCUGUCCACACAUCCUCAGUUGGAUUGUUGCAGUGAACACAAAGCUGUAAAUAUAUUUAAAAUGUGUAAAUCAGUGCUGGCAUUGAUGAUGAAGGUGAUGAUGAUGUUAUUUGAAAUUGAGAUAUUUAUGGACAGGAUGUCUUGGUAAAGCUGCUCCCUCUGCAUUGGGUUGUUGGGGUUAAAGGAGAGGUGUAAAUACUUUGGUGGUGAGUUAAAGGUGCUUUCUGUGAAACAAGUCAUUUCUUAAACUUUGUUUUUUUUUUUUUUAUCUUUCCUCGAUGUCUAUCUGUCUCAGCUGCUCAUUGUUUUUCAAAUCUAUACCAAGUUAUACUAUUUAAUUCAUGACUCUUUGUGCCAAAUUGUUGACCGUUUACAAUGAGAUGUUCUUAAUAAAGAGUUUUCUGGUGAAAAAAAAUGUUCAACAAGCAAUUGAACAAAAUAUAGUUCUUUCUGAUACAAAUCAACCUAAAAAACAACCAAUGAAUUAGUUGGAAAUGGUUCACCCAAACCAUCUACAAUAACCUUU